rnacentral:misc_RNA from 1 species
UCACCAUUCAAGCCUGGCUUGGUAUUGGGUGCCGUCCUGCCCUCUGCGGCGUGGACGCUCCCUAAAACUAUCGGCGGUGCAGCACCGGCUUCGAGCGUAGCAGACCUUCGCUUUCGGGGACCCGGUGAGGCAGCGGCCGCGACGCACAACCUUUU